rnacentral:lncRNA from 1 species
CUGUGAUCGAUGUGUGUUGGCACCAGCCACCGGUGGACAUGUAAGUCACACUGCAUCUGAAUCCAUGCAUAUCAGCUGAUUAUGAGGCAUAUGAGUUCAUAAAGAUCAAGAGAGUGGAGGCCAGUGUGGACAGUGCACAUAUGGGUCACACACUGACAUUGCCAAGCGAGGCCAGAAGAGGGCUCCAGAUCCCCUCGAAUUCAGAACUGCCAACACUUCUGUCACGUGAAUCAGGACCUUCAAGCAGAGACCAUGGCUGAGAGGUGUGGGUUCUUAAUGAUGAGAUCCUGGCUGACUGAAAAGUGAGCUCCAUCAGGAGUGACUGGGCUGCUCAGGAAUCUGGAGACAGACACGGAACACCAUCUACCCCUGUUCCCACCCCAUGGCUGGAGAGACUAUCCCUUUAAGAAAAGACUUUGGGGACAGAACCCAAGAACAUAAAUAAAGUGUGGCUGCCUCGCUCUCUAAAGAAGGUU